CUCCAGAUGUGUCAGGACACUUGGAGGGGAGAAAACUCAAGGGAGGGACUGAUUUCCCAGAGGACAAUCCAUUUUCCAGUGACCCUACUGUCCACAGUUGGGACAUGGCCUUGUAGGAAGCCCGAGAAAAGGGCAAGCUUUUGUUUAGUGGCCCAGAUUGCUGUAGUGAACCGUCCCUAGCAAGGAGAAGGAAACAAGAGGAUAAGAUCAGUAUUUGAGAAAGAAAGAUGAAGGCAAACAGGCCCCUCAACACCUGCUACCUCAUGGAGGGGCUGAUAAAUUAUCAAGAUCUCAGAGAAUUUGGAUAUUGAAAGUACCCUCAGCUGGCCAGCAUAACCCAUUAUGGUAUGUACUGGGGCCACAUGGAAAUGGAGUAAAAGGUAAAUUUUUUUUGGCUUAAUGUCUUCUUUUAAUCCCAAUUUGGAAAGAUUAUGCAGGAGACUCU